rnacentral:rRNA from 1 species
AUUGAACGCUGGCGGCAGGCCUAACACAUGCAAGUCGAACGAGUGGCGGACGGGUGAGUAAUGUCUGGGAAACUGCCUGAUGGAGGGGGAUAACUAAUGGAAACGGUAGCUAAUACCGCAUACCCUCAGAUGUGCCCAGAUGGGAUUAGCUAGUGGGUGGGGUAACGGCUCACCAAGGCGACGAGCCCUAGCUGGUCUGCGAGGAUGAACAGCCACACGGGAACUGAGACACGUUCAAGACUCCUACGGGAGGCAGCAGGGGGGAAGUUUGCACAAUGGGUGCAAGCCUGAGGCAGCCACGCCGCUGGUAUGAAGAAGGCCUUCGGGUUGUAAAGUACUUUCAGCGGGGAGGCGUUACCCGCAGAAGAAGCACCGGCUAACUCCGUGCCAGCACCGCGGUAAUUC